rnacentral:rRNA from 1 species
GAUGAACGCUGGCGGCGUGCCUAAUACAUGCAAGUCGAGCGAACAGACCAGGCGCUUGCUCCUCUGACGUUAGCCGCGGACGGGUGAGUCACACGUGGAUACCCUCCCUAUAAGACUGAGAUCACUUCGGGAAACGGGCGCUUAUCGCGUAUAAUCUAUUGAACCGCGUGGUUCGAUGGUGAAAGACGGUUUUGCUGUCACUUAUAGCUGGAUCCGCGCCGCAUUGGCUAGUUGGUAAGGUAACGGCUUACCAAGGCAACGAGGCGUAGCCGAGCUAACAGGGUGGUCGGCGACACGAGAACGGAGACACGGUCAAGACUCCUACGGGAGGCAGCAGUAGGGAAUCUGCCGCAAUGGGGGAAAGCCUGACGGAACAACGGCGAGUGAGUGAUGAAGGUCUUCGGAGCGUAAAACUCUGUUAUUAGGGAAGAACAAAUGUGUAAGUAACUAUGCCCGGCUUGACGGUACCUAAUCAGAAAGCCACGGCUAACUACGUG